rnacentral:rRNA from 1 species
AUUGAACGCUGGCGGCAGGCCUAACACAUGCAAGUCGAACGAGUGGCGGACGGGUGAGUAAUGGCUGGGAAACUGCCUGAUGGAGGGGGAUAAGUACUGGAAACGGUAGCUAAUACUGCAUACAAUCAGAAGUGCCCAGAUGGGAUUAGCGAUUUGGUGGGGUAAAGGCUCACCAAGGCGACGAUCCCUAGCUGGUCUGAGAGGAUGACCAGCCACACUGGAACUGAGACACGGUCCAGACUCCUACGGGAGGCAGCAGUGGGGAAUAUUGCACAAUGGGCGCAAGCCUGAUGCAGCCAUGCCGCGUGUAUGAAGAAGGCCUUCGGGUUGUAAAGUACUUUCAGCGGGGAGGCGUUACCCGCAGAAGAAGCACCGGCUAACUCCGUGCCAGCAGCCGCGGUAAUUC